rnacentral:tRNA from 1 species
GCCCUGGUAGCACUAUGGUUAAGCACUCAGCUGCUAACUGAAAGGUCAGUGGUUCGAACUCACACCACGGCU